UACAGAGGGUGCGAGCGUUAAUCGGAAUUACUGGGCGUAAAGCGCGCGCAGGCGGACCUGUAUGUGCCGUGUGAAAGCGCCGGACUUACUUCGGCGAGGUCAUGGUAGACAGCGGGUCUGGAGCCUCGGAGAGGUCGGUGGAAUUCCGGGUGGAGCGGUGGAAUGCGUAGAGAUCCGGAGGAACACCAGGGGCGAAGGCGGCCGACUGGCCGAGUGCUGACGCUGAGGCGCGACGGCGUGGGGAGCAAACCGG
rnacentral:rRNA from 1 species